GGGGCUGUAACGGUUUCGACGUUUUAGUAAACGUAGCUUUAUGAUUCAGGCCGAGAGUGAGUCAUCUCUCGUAAAUCCAAGACUCAAACAACAUGUAAAUGCGAACAACAUCGUUCCUUUCGCUCGUCGGGCAGUUGCUAUUGCCUAGAAACCGCUUAGUUGGUUUUUGAGCAUCUAUAGUGUGACUCCGUUAAGGACUAUAGAUAUAACCCCCAACGGAUGCGCUAGAUAGACGCCUCUGGUCGGAUAUUUAGCUAAGACCUCACCAGAGCAUCCCAUCGUCUGGGAUAAGAGACGAUUCCCGCUUCGAGGAUGAGAGAAGCUAAGCCUGUGAAUGAGUGAAGCGCUAAUAACUAGGGCGGACACGGGUUCGACUCCCGUCAGCUCCAUCA
rnacentral:tmRNA from 1 species